rnacentral:misc_RNA from 1 species
GGUGAUGUGGGGAAGAGAAUUUUUAAUGUAAUUGACUGAAUAUGCAUUUACAUGCUUUUGGUGGGGACCAUUCUGGUCCGACUAAGUGCAAAUGAGGGACUGCUUGAGCUACUGAAAAAUAUGCUACCAGGAAUACUGUAAUGUGUUCAUCAUAAUGGUACUGUCAUGUGCUCAUAUGUUGUACAAAUUGUUGGUAGGUAUUAAAUAUGAGCAUUAGCUUGUUAGGAGAGGUCAAAAUAUAUGCUUGGUAGCAAUUUUGUGUACUCUAAAUGUAUUGGCAUGUACUUCUAUAACAAAUAGACUGUUUUAAUAGGAAAAAAACACAUCAUGGCAAGUUGGUUUUUGAAUAAGCCUCAAUUUUUCAAGCAUGGAGGAAUAAAACACUGUCUAAGCAAUUGGAAUUGAGGUUCUCCAUAUUGUUGCAAGCAUCCAUUAAUCUCUCUC